UACGUAGGGUGCAAGCGUUGUCCGGAAUUAUUGGGCGUAAAGAGCUCGUAGGCGGUCUGUCGCGUCGGCUGUGAAAACUCGGGGCUCAACUCCGAGCUUGCAGUCGAUACGGGCAGGCUAGAGUUCGGCAGGGGAGACUGGAAUUCCUGGUGUAGCGGUGAAAUGCGUAGAUAUUGGGAGGAACACCAGUGGCGAAGGCGGCUCGCUGGACCGGUUCUGACGCUGAGGCGCGAAAGCGUGGGGAGCAAACGGG
rnacentral:rRNA from 1 species